UAAAAAAAUCUUAUUCUCUUUCAGGACUUUGGAGCACUUCCUUUUGCUACCCCAACUGCGGAUGUUUUAUGCUCCCGCAUUUGCAGUUGCUUUUUCUCUCAAUAAAACUCGUUACUUUCACUUUUAACAGAGUUUGGUUCACUGUGUCUAUGACACUUCUGGUGGCAGCAGUGGGAACCCUAAAGCUUCUGCAAUUUCCAAGACAUGGAGGAUUCGGACUUCAGACUCUGGGAGAGAGAGAAAUCUUCUCUAUUAUUUUAAAGAAUUGGAUAAAAAGUCUUGGGGCUAAUAGACCACACACUUCCUCAUGGUGCCAAGGCAGUGUUAUGCUCACAGUUUUUGUAGGGCCUAAAGGAAAAAAAAAAAAAAAAUGCAACUGCUUCUUCUCAAGACCUGCAAAAAAAUGGAGAAAUGCAAUUGCUUUCUUGGUUUUCCUCAGACAGGACGUGAGAGGUAUGCAGAGGUGGUUUUUUAAUAUUCAUCAAAGGCCUUGGAACCAUGAAUCCCAUUCCACAAUGUCUGGAAGAUUUAUGAAACUAGAAGUUCUUCUCUGCUCAAGUUUCCUGGAAACCUCUGUCUGGGUGAUCAAGAGAGAGGGAAAUGUAAAUUCUGCAUAUUCCAAAUAUUUAGAACCCUUAGAUCGUUAAAUUAUGUGGGUGCUGUCUGGUGAAUUGCAACUUGGUAGCACUUACCUCUUUUUUAAGAUUGAUUGAUGAUAGAAAAUUUUAAAAUGAACUUCCAGGCAAUGCAGAGGGGGGAAAAAAAUGAAAAUGAUGUGUAAACAACACUCCACUGAAAGAGAAUUUCUAACGAGGUCCAAUUAAAUCUAACAGCUGUAUCUAUAUGCUUAAGUCUCUCUGAGGAGCCAUAUUAAGAGCCACGGAGGUUGGGAGAGAUGAAGGGUAAAUAAGACAUUGGCCCUAGCCUAGCAGCACUUACAAUGUAGCCGAGGGAACAGGACUUAGCACAAGGAAUAAUUGGAGCUCAAUCCAAGACUAUGUAAAUAAAAAUGCUCAAGAGUGACAGCAGCAGUAUGGUGGAGUGGAUAGCUCUAAACACCCAUCCUGCCACAAAAACACAGAAAACAAGCAGAAAUGGUCAGAACCAACUUCAUCAGAACGCUGGAGAGCAAUCAAAGACGUAUAGCAACAAAGCUAAUGCUGAAUCAGGAAAAAUGCAACUUAAAAACAGUAGGAACAUUUUGUGGCAUUUGAACUUCCCCUUGCCUCAUCCUUUACCUCUCUUUGCAGCAGUCUUAAAGAUGGACUCACAUUCCAAAAGUGAGGCCCUGGUCCCUGGCUCUGAAGGAAGUAAAGCAAGCUUUAUUCACAAAUUAACUGUGUUUGUGUGUUCUAACUUAUCUGAGACUACAAGAAAGACUAAUGGAAAGUUCUCAUCUUUGUUUUGUCUAAUUCAGAAUGUAUUCGGGUGGAAAAACGGUGGGCAUUGCUAGAAAACAUUAGAAGACCAAUGAAAAACCAGCAGCCACCUAGGGCAAAAGAUUACAUUUGAAAUAUACAAUAAGAUGCUUAAAACUGAAAGAAGAAGCCAGAGAGAGUUUCUUUGGUAAAUUACGGCAUUCAGAAGUGCUCAUGUACUUUGAAAUUUAGAAAACCACGUGCAUGCCAAGGAGAGGAUGCAUGCUCAGAAAAUACCUGAGAAGAUUCUAAGCUUUCACCACUGAUAUCCAGAUUAAGAGCAAGCAGAAAGUGAAGGCUCAGGCAGAGUUGAAAAUGGUCUAGUUGAGUGUUAAAGGUGUGCUGCAGCACAGAGUAAAUCUAUAAAGACUGGGAGAGGUGGCUUUUUAAAUUUUUUUUUUUAGCUCCUGGAUUCAAUGAAAUCUAAGUCAAAACACUGGCUGAAUACAAGCUAAAGGGACAAAGACUUGAGUGAUCAUAGACGACAAGAAAUACCGUCUUUACAUACAAAAUAAUAGUUUGGUAAAGCCACUAGACAAAUGGACGACUCUAGCCUUCAAUGAUAAAGAACAGCAAAUCCUGGGGAAGGAUAACAAUCUGAUUUCCAGAAUUCAAAUGUCCAGUGUUCAACAAAAAAUAGUAUAUAUAUAUACAUGCAUAUACUAGCCAAUUCAAAAGGAAAAAGAUAAAAUGACAGAAACCUUCCCUGAGAAAUCCCAGACAUUGGGCUUACUAAAGACUUUAAAUAAAUUGUCUUAAAUAUGCCCAAAUAGAGCACUAUCCUGAUACCUAAGCCAGACAAAGACACUACAAGAAAACUAAAGACCAAUAUCCCUUAUGAAUAUAGAUAUAAAAAUCCUCAACGAAAUACUAACAAACCCAAUUUAGCAGCAUAUUAAUAAUCAAAAUUUCAUGCUAUGAUCAAGUGGGAUUUAUGCCUGGAAUGCAAGGGUAGUUCAACAUAUGAUAAUCAAUCAAUAUAAUGCACCAUAUUAAUAGAGUGAAGGGGAAGGAAAACACGAUCAUCUCAGUAGAUGCAGAAAAAUCAUUUGGCAAAAUCCGACACACUUUCAUGUUAAAAACAAUCAGAAAACUAGGAAUAGACAGGAACUUCCUCAACAUGAUAAAGGCCAUAUAGAAAACCCACAGCUAACAUCAUGCUCAAUGGUGAAGGAAUAAAAGCCUUUCCUCUAAGAUCAGGAACAAGUCAAAGAUGUCUGCUUUCACCCUUCCAUUCAACAUAAGAGUAGAAGUUCUAGCCACAGCAAUUAAACAAGAAAAAGAAAUAAAUGCCAUCCAAAUUGGAAAGAAAGAAAUAAAGCUAUCUGAUUUCAGGGAUGACGUGAUAUUAUAUGUAGAAAACAAAAACAAAUCCACAAAAAACAGUUACAGCUAAUAAAUUCAGCAAAAUUAUAGAAUACAAAAAUCAGUUGUGUUUCAAUAUGCUAGCAGUGAACAACCAAAGGAAGAAAUUAAUGAAACAAUUCCAUUUACAAUAUCAUCAAAAAGAAUAAAAUAAAUUCAGCCAAGGAUAUGCAAGAUUACUACAUUAAAAACUAUAAAACAUUGCUGAAAGCAAUUAAAACCUAAAUAAGUGGGAAGACAUCUCGUGUUCAUGAACUGGAAGAUGUUAUAGAUUCAAUGAUGUCGCCCAAAAAUAGAUAUGUUGAAGU